UGUGUUGGACUGAACAGUCCACACUGCACACUGGAGACUCUCAGACUGCGUGGCUGUAAUCUGUCAGUGAGAAGCUGUGAAGCUCUGUCCUCAGUUCUCAGCUCCGAGUCCUCUAGUCUGAGAGAGCUGGACCUGAGUAACAACAACCUGCAUGAUUCAGGAGGAAAGCUGAUCUCUGUUGGACUGAAGAGUCCAUACUGCACACUGGAGACUCUCAGUCUGUCAGGCUGUCUGAUCUCAGAGGAAGGCUGUUCUUC